rnacentral:rRNA from 1 species
CCUACGGGGUGCAGCAGUGAGGAAUAUUGGUCAAUGGACGAGAGUCUGAACCAGCCACGUAGCGUGAAGGAUGACUGCCCUAUGGGUUGUAAACUUCUUUUAUAUGGGAAUAAAACGUUCCACGUGUGGGAUUUUGUAUGUACCAUAUGAAUAAGGAUCGGCUAACUCCGUGCCAGCAGCCGCGGUAAUACGGAGGAUCCGAGCGUUAUCCGGAUUUAUUGGGUUUAAAGGGAGCGUAGGUGGAUUGUUAAGUCAGUUGUGAAAGUUUGCGGCUCAACCGUAAAAUUGCAGUUGAAACUGGCAGUCUUGAGUACAGUAGAGGUGGGCGGAAUUCGUGGUGUAGCGGUGAAAUGCUUAGAUAUCACGAAGAACUCCGAUUGCGAAGGCAGUUCACUGGACUGCAACUGACACUGAGGCUCGAAAGUGUGGGUAUCAAACAGGAUUAGAUACCCGAGUAGUC